CUUCCCUCUAUAUAAUGCGUUCUAGAGAUGCUUAUGUAGUGUCUUCGUCCUCCCGCGGCCGCUCGGGAGUGCACAAUGUGCUGCUCAAAUUCAUCGUUUGUCACCGCCGUUAGAUGAAUUUGGUUGCCGGUAAACUCAUCAAACACAUCUAACGGCAAUCAAUGGGUUUGUGCUUGAUCGAUUGAAUCGGAUUAGAGGUCUAAAAUUGCCUAUGAGAGAUCCGAGCGAACUUAAUUGUCGUGGCGCUCGAGUUCCGUUGCGGGCAUAUAAAAACCCCAAAAAGUAAGGCCUGCCUUUGAGCGAGAAGAUGUUUGCAUUCUCCUCUUGCGUUGAAGGAAGGUUUUAUACAUUAUUUUUCGGUCAUUUUUUCUUUUGACAAAUGUUAUAACGAGUAAAAACUCGAAAAUAUAAAAUACACCGGGAGCACGGUAGAAAAUUUCUUGGGCCGUUUCAAAUGGGUUCUUGUUUCUGAUACGAGAUCUCAAUUUCACCCGGCCAAUAUGUGAUAUUAUUAUAUGGGGCAGUAUCAAGGUUUUACAUGUGUUUUUAUUCACCUUGUAAUUCAGGUUACUGCCCUAAAUUUGUAUCCCUAGGAGAUCGAGAAUUUUACCUCUAAAAGUUAACCAGGAACAAUAUGUAAGAGCUUUCGAUGGAAACAAUCAAUCCCUUGUUACAAAUUUAUAAAAUUCUGUAAGUUAAUAUCGCA